rnacentral:rRNA from 1 species
GACGAACCGUACGAACGUUAUUCGGAAUUACUGGGCUUAAAGGGUGCGUAGGCGGCGCAGUAAGUUGGGUGUGAAAUCCCUCGGCUUAACCGAGGAAUUGCGCCCAAAACUACUGUGCUCGAGGGAGAUAGAGGUGAGCGGAACUUAGGGUGGAGCGGUGAAAUGCGUUGAUAUCCUAAGGAACACCAGUGGCGAAGGCGGCUCACUGGCCCGGUACUGACGCUGAGGUGCGAAAGCGUGGGGAGCAAACAGG